AGGAGGACCGACAGAUGAACGGAUGACCUGCUUGCUGGGCUUCCCAUUACUAAUUCUUGAGACAUGAGGACCACUGACUGGUGAGGGAAUUGCCCUAUGAUGGAUGAGCCUGCCUCAAGCUGCCAUAAGCUGGGAGGACCGACGGUUGACUGACACUGCCUGCUUGGUUGGCCAUUACCGAUUCUUGAGAAGAUGAGGACCGCCAAGCUUGGAUGAGACUGGAAAAUUACGAAGCUGCUCUAUCUUGACAACGAUGCCCUCAUCAGACACUUUCCGAUUUGCGGAAUAUUGGAUCAAAAAUCAGACUGCAUAUUAUUUUGCAAUAUUAUAAAACAUCAAAACGACUAAAAUACGAAUUCUUACGCCAAAGAUACCGCUAUAAUUGGAAGAAAUAAUAGCUUAAAUCGCUGUUACUUGUUAACUUUACUGAGAUACCUAUACCUGAAAUAUUUGACAACGAAUAUGACGAAAAUUGAAGAAAAAUAGUCAAAUGUGUGU